GUUAAUUGAUUGACACAGCGGGAUGUCGUGGUCAGCGCUGAUGAAACCGCUCCUUGCUGCAAACUAUUUCCACGUGAUCUAUAUAGGUCAACUUAUCAAGAUUUUGAAAAACCGGGCAGCAUUCUUGAGAGACAAAGAACAGGAUUUAGGGAAUAUUUUACAUCACCGUAUGCGGCUGUUUGCAAAGACUAAAUAUUACAUGUUAUGAGAGGAAUUGGACAGAAUGAAGUUUGCUACACACCAUCUUUGAGGGAUUUACCAGGGUAUUAAUUUUAAAGAAGAAAACAAAGAAAUCCAAGUGCCAAACAGAUGAUUUCCAAAG